GAUGAACGCUGGCGGCGUGCCUAAUACAUGCAAGUCGAGCGAACAGACGAGGAGCUUGCUCCUCUGACGUUAGCGGCGGACGGGUGAGUAACACGUGGAUAACCUACCUAUAAGACUGGGAUAACUUCGGGAAACCGGAGCUAAUACCGGAUAAUAUAUUGAACCGCAUGGUUCAAUAGUGAAAGACGGUUUUGCUGUCACUUAUAGAUGGAUCCGCGCCGCAUUAGCUAGUUGGUAAGGUAACGGCUUACCAAGGCAACGAUGCGUAGCCGACCUGAGAGGGUGAUCGGCCGCACUGGAACUGGGACACGGUCCAGACUCCUACGGGAGGCAGCAGUAGGGAAUCUUCCGCAAUGGGCGAAAGCUUGACGGAGCAACGCCGCGUGAGUGAUGAAGGUCUUCGGAUCGUAAAACUCUGUUAUUAGGGAAGAACAAAUGUGUAAGUAACUAUGCACGUCUUGACGGUACCUAAUCAGAAAGCCACGGCUAACUACGUG
rnacentral:rRNA from 1 species